UACGGGGGGGGCAAGCGUUGUUCGGAAUUACUGGGCGUAAAGGGCUCGUAGGCGGCCAACUAAGUCAGACGUGAAAUCCCUCGGCUUAACCGGGGAACUGCGUCUGAUACUGGAUGGCUUGAGGUUGGGAGAGGGAUGCGGAAUUCCAGGUGUAGCGGUGAAAUGCGUAGAUAUCGGAAGGAACAUCAGUGGCGAAAGCGGCUUCCUGGACCAGCACCGACGUUCAGGCACGAAAGCGUGGGGAGCAAACAGG
rnacentral:rRNA from 1 species